rnacentral:lncRNA from 1 species
GAAGGAGUCUAUGGAACAUCCUGUGCACCCUAAGCAAGAAAUGAACCCCACUGGGUUCAAUGGGGCACAUUUGUUUAUUUAUUAAGAGUCUUUUUAGUUCAUCCUUCAUCAUCUGAUCCCAAGGUGGGGGUACAAUAUGGUUUAAAUGGUUGAAACUUGUCUGAUACAAUUAAAAGAGUAGAUAAAUUAAGUGUGCAUCCUAAAGAUCUUACCUUUUUGAAGCUUUCUCAAACACUCUCUGGUUUUUGCUCUUAUAUAUACAUAUCUAUUUCAAUGUCAAUGCAGGUGGUGUUUCAGAGCCCUUUUAGCCUACUUGGACAGACUCCGGAAGGCUGCUCAACUUACACCUUUCCUAAGAUAAUGGGCCCCCUAAAGGUAAGUAGCUUAACUCAUUGCUGGGGGUGGGGACACCCCAGUACCAACCAGUUGUUAUACCUCUUCCCCCUUCUCCGCAUUUCAUCGUUAAGAUUAAUUUCCUUUUGUUCCUGUAGUCGUUCAGGAAUAGGUUUUGAGACGUAAAACAACUUAGACACUUAUGACACUAAAAUCCUUUGACAAAAAAAAGGUACUAUGGAAAAGGUACUAUGAUGCAUAUAUGGUAGAAGUGUCUAAACAUCAAACAAUUUUGGGAAACAAUAUAUAACGAAAUGAAAAAAAAUGUUCAGAUAUUCAUUUAGGAAAACACCAGAAGGUUUUCUAUUGGGAAUAGUAACAGGAAGUCUAAAGGAAGAAGACAAGACAUUAUAUUUAUACGCAACAGUAGCCGCAAGGCUAUUGAUUGCGAAAAAUUGGAAAAGUGGUAUUAUACCGACAAAAACAGAGUGGCUUGCCAAAUUAUUGGAGUAUUACAAUAAAUCCAAAACAAUGGGAGAAAUGGGAAGGAUCUCAAAAGAGAAGAUAGACAGGGACUGGAAGGAUCCUUGCAAAACCAUAUUGAAAAAUCAGAAUUCCUAUUAGAAUAAACAAGUUCCGUUUUAAAUACUGAAAUACUAAAUAAGAUGGAUAACAAUGUGUAAUAGAAAAAGGAGCAUGAAAUUAGGUUAAAGGUGUGUGAAAGAAAGUAACAGAAGUGGAAAGAAAUUGCAAUUGAGUAGAUUGGAAGUCUAAAACAAAGGUGGGGUGAGGGGUGGUGGAUGGUGAUGGGAAAAGGAAUUAUCUGCGGGAUUGAGUGUAGGUAUGUUUGAACAUUUUUAAGGAUUGUAUGAAAUGUAUGUUUGUAUGCUUGUAUAUUCGCAAUAUGUGUGUAUUAAUGCUGAAUUGUUUUAAUAAUAAAAACUUAAAUAAUAAAAAUUUAAAAAAUCCUUUGACAAAAUGUAGCCAUGGUACUAGUUUGGUUUGCAGUUGAGUAUACACCAGAAAAAUGCACCCAAAACAAUUGAGCAACUUCCCUACGAGGAAGAUUUACCUCCUCACAAUUUACCACCCCACAUCUCCCAAUGUUGCUUUCCCCUCAACUAAUCUCCAGUACUGGAAGUGAGUCCAAAUGGAGAAAAGUUCAUGGCAGACGGGGAGAUUCUUCAGCACUCUCACCAAUGCACCUCUUAACCGGGACACCUCACCCCACUUUGAUAUGUAAUUGGGGCAGCCUUGCUUCUAAAGGCACAAUGUGCCAUCAUCAAUAUAUAGUAGGGCUGGCCUUCCAGAAGCUUGGGACUCCAACUCCCAUCAAUCCCUGCCAGCAGGGUCAAUGGUCAGAGAUGAUGGGAGCUGUAGUCCAGACCUGGUGUAUAUAGUUCUCCACCCUGGUGUAUAGUUUGGGCCUUGCAUUGUGAUCCUAUGUGUAUUUCCUCAGAGGAAAAUGCUGCUGUAUUGAAGAAGCCUUACUCCCAGGUAGGGAUGGAGGAGAAAUUCAGUUCAGUUCACAUUUAAAGGUGAACUUACCUCAUUCUCAUAUUCUAAAACAAAAUCUGAACCAAGACACAGCCAUACUUGUACUUCUCUGAAUUUUGCAAGGCAGUUCUCCAGCUGAGUAAUGUGUACAGAAAUCCAUAUAUUAAUGUGAAGUGUGCAUAUAAAUGCAUAUAUUAGUGAUAAUAUCUUACCAAAAUGUAUUGUUUAGGAGGAAAUGCAUGCAAAAAUGUGUUUAUUGUGAGAUAGUUGCACUAAAAUGCUGAUAAUUUUCAUGAGGGUUAUUUUAACUAAAAUUUGCAGAUUGCUCUAGAAAUGUAGAGAACUGAAUUUAAGACUGGAAAAAUGAGAAAUUGAGAAAACCAAAAUUGAAAGAUUUGUGUAUCCUUGCUCUCAGGUAAGUAUGCAUAGGAUUGCAGCUCAAUGUACACUUACCUGAGAGUAAGUCUCCUUGAACUCACUGGCACAUGCAUAGGAUUGCCCUGUCUGCAUUCUGCUAUCACAAUGGGUAACUAUGAAGUGUUAACAUUAUUCUUCCUAGACUAUCUUCAAUGGCAGAAAUCUCAAUUUCAGCCAUCUCACUUAGCUGUAAUUUAAAUAUUUAUGUCUGUAAAUCGCACUAAAAACUGCUCUAUUUUUAUACAGCAGAUUUUAAGGUUAUUUUCUACAUUCCUUGCACAUUUUGCAGUAGCAGCAUGGAACGGGGAAUUCUAUAUUAAAGACAUCUAAUUAUAUGUAUGAAAAGUAAUUGAAAGCCUCCUCUCAGCCUGGCAAUGCAAAAUAUUUGAACUCUGUCCCUAACAGUAUGUUUCCCUUUCAUCAUCUUGAUUAUUCUUUUUCAAGCCUGCCAGAUUGAAUUUUCUGAGGUUCGUAUAACAAUCCCCACAGCUUGGGACUUGGGAAAGAUCAGAUUCAUGAUUCAGAGACUCACGAGCUCCCUUUUAUUUGCAUGCUCUGACAAGGGUAAGAAGAUGAGUGAUUGGUCCAAACUGAGUGCCCAUGUGCUAGGCCACAUGAGAAUGUAGGAAUCCAUAAGAAAGGAUUUUUGAAUCAGAACAGAGAAGGGCCAUGGUUCAGUUGUAGAGCAUUUGCCUUGUAUGCAAAGGUUCAAACCCCACCAACUCCAGACAGGACUAGGAGAGAAUCAUUGCCUGAAACCUUGGAGAUCCAAGUCAAGGUAGACAAUUCAAAGCUAGAAAGACUGAUAAUUGUCUUACUCAGUAUUAAGCUAGCUUCCUAUGAUAGCCAGAGGAAGCUCACAAAGGGAGCGUGACGGAGAGACGCAUAAUUAAAGGUCCACCAGCUCUCUCCCAGCAGUCAGAUUGCACGUUAAAUAACAUACUAGGAAGAGCAAUGGGGAUAAGUACACUAGUAGUGUCCCCUGACUGUCUGAAGUUAGAGAGAGGUGGAUCUGACAGUUUUAGUUUCUCUCGGCUUCUCAUUUUUCCAGCUUCACCUUCAGUUUGCCCCAUUUCUGCAUUAGUUUAGCCAAUUAAAAAAGUGUGCAUUUUUGCAAGUGUUGCAAAAGUAUUGCAAAAGUAUUUGCAAGUUAUUGAAUUUUUGCAAGUUAUUUUUACAAAUAAACACGUUUUUAUGUGCACUUUCCCCCUAAGAUGUGGUUUUGGAUGCAUUCUUUGGUUGGAGAAUUGUGCUGCAACAUUUGUAGAAGUGUGCGUUUUGAGCAAUACAGUGGUACCUUGGUUCUCAAACUUAAUCUGUUCCAGAAGUCCGUUCCGAAACCAAAGCGUUUCAAAAAUAAGGUGCUCUUUCCCAUAGAAAGUAAUGCAAAAUGGAUUAAUCAAUUCCAGACUUUUAAAAACAACCCCUAAAACAGCAUUUUAACAUGGAUUUUACUGUCUAACAAGAUCAUUGAUCCAUAAAAUGAAAGCAAUAGACAGUGUACUGCAGUCACACAAUCAAUCAGUAGCUGAACUGGGUUCCACACAGUCACAAAAACAAAAAAAAAGAGCCGCAAAAACUAAAAUGCAAAAUAAACAGCAAAAACAGACAGACCUCAGUGUAACACUCAAACCAGAAGUGUGGCACUCGAAACAGAAGUGCCAUGGAAGUGUAACACUCAAAACGGAGCAUGAUCGGCUUCCGAAAAAAGUUCACAAACUGGAACACUUACUUCCAGGUUUGCAGUGUUUGGGUUCCAAGUUGUUUGAGUACCAAGGCAUUUGAGAACCAAGGUACCACUUUAUCGACAUUUCAGUUUGUGUGUUGGUUCAGGGAGUGUGAUUUAGGGAGUGUGAUUCCCCCACCCUUUCUACCCCAUGUGGAACCUCCCCCCACAAAGUAGAACCCUGGAAGAUCCAUAUUCUAGGAGACUCUCUUCUCUGCUGUCUAACGUUUAGAGGGCAAUGAGGCAGAGCCAGCAUGUUCAUACCUCCAUCUUCCUUCCUGCGGUUCUAAACAUAUGCAAUCCAAUGUCUGAAGAGGGCAAGUAUGUCUCUCGGAAUGGAUGCUCUCAUUUUAGUGUCCACGGCUAAGAGCUGUCAAGGACCCUGCCCUCCAUUAAUUUGUCUAACUCUUGAAAAAGCUAUCCGAGUUAAUGUCAAGCACCUCAUCGUGGCAAUGGAUCUUACACGUUAAUUACGCCUCACAUGAAGAAGCAUUUCCUUUUGUUUAUCCGAAAAUUACUGCUAGUCAGCUUCAAUGUUUGGCUUCUAGAGUCUGAGCAGAGAAUAAUUUAUUCCUCUUCCCCGGUCGUAAUUUCACAAACAUUUAUCGCAUCUCCCACUCUUCCCUUCGUAAUUGUUGCCUUAAAUGAAAAAAGCCCCAAGUACUAACUUUUGUCUUCUUAGAGAAGGUGCUUCACGUUUUCCCUUGAUUAUUUAAGUUCCCUUUGCCUGCACUUUCUCCUACUCAACAAUGUGGUUUUGAGGUGUGAGAGCCAGAACAGUACUUAACGUUUACCGUAAGUGUUGAAACACAGCUACAUACAUAAACCCAAGAGGAAGAUGGAUAACAGUCUCAUACCAAAUUGAACUACUGGAUUUGUGUAGCUCAGGCCUGUCUUUACCUGGGGUGGAGAAUCUAAGGCCUGGCGAGCAGGGGGACAAAUGAGGACCUCCAAAUUCUCCAUCUGGCCCUCAGACCUCUCCCCAGCCUAUAGCCCUUUGCUUCACACUCCAAUUAUUUUGCCUGCCAGGAAGCUGUCCCUGAUUUCUGAUAGCACCCCUUGCUUCUCUGGAUAGAUAGGAAUGUGUGUGUCUAGAAAAUAGCCUACCAUAUAAAGGUGAAACUUACAUCUGUUGCUUUGCCCACUUAGGGCUCACCUUGGAGGCCAACAGUUUCCCAGAAAGACAUGUGGCCCUCUGGCUGAAGUCCAGCCAAGCUGAUUCCUUCCAGGUAUUUUGGGUUACAACUUCCAUCAACCCCGGCCAGCAGAAGCUGGCGAAGGCUGGUUGGCACUGUACUGCCAUCAGUUCUCCGCCAUUUCAGACAGGAUUCUUUCUCGACCUUACCUGGAGAUACCAGGGAUCAGCCCCAGAAAACUAUUAUACUCAUGCAAAAUUAUAAUAUUUCAAAAUUUUGGAUACCAGCUGCAUUCACACACUGGCACGUUUAACACUGUGUACAUAAGCAAAAAUAUGCUGAGCACGUGUGGUUGGGUCUUAAUAUUCAGGGUUCUCCAGGAACAGAUUCUGAUCUUAGUAGACCGAGAAGAAUGUGUAGCUGUUUUAUUGAAGAAUCCAAAUCUUUAGAUUAGCAACCAAAGCAGGCCCAUGCGAAGCUUAUCUGAGGCCCAGGGCAUGAGUCUUGUUAGAAUAAAGUUAUAUACUCAAACAAAAAAAGCACCCGGUCCCUGGCAGGGUCCCCCAGCCAACUUAACCCUCCAAGCCCAGGGGAAGUGUACCCAGCUGCCUUCCGCCUCUUCAUGGGCCUGAUCCAGAGUCCUUUUUGCUCAGCCCAUCUCAGGUCAUCAGACUUUCUCAGGAUAAGAAACAUGGACAGCCGCUUGCCGUGGCAACAUGUCCCUUAGUUUUCCAAAGCCAUCAAAUUACAGCAUUGUUGUUAUUGUUUUCCCCCUCAGAACAAUUAAUGAAAAUUGGAAUAAGAAAAGAAUGUCACAAGAACAUGGUACAGAAUAGUAUGGCGAAUACUGCAGUAAGGCGUAUUCUAGGUUUCUACAUCUGGGCUGCUUCCAGAUGGUUGGCUUUUAGUGCCACCGAAGCAUUGUUGUUCUUUUGAAAGCUGCAAGCAGAAUUGUAAUGAACCUACCACACUAUUAGGGAAUACUGCGCCUUUUCUAUAAGUACAUUCCACUAUGCUCUGUCCACACUAGGGAACAUAACAUAAAACAUCACAUCACAUCAUAUCACAUAAAACAUAAAAUACCUUUUGCAUCUUAGUGCACAUUCACUACAACCUUUAAGGUGGGUGGCAUUGUUAUAAAGUCUGACUCAGCAACUCUGGCUGUCCUGAGAAUGCCAGAUUUAAUGAUGCCACUUGUAUUCACAGAGUCCACACUCUUCAAACAAAAUUGGCUGAAGGUCUUGCCAUAGAUAUAACGGAACUUUGCACCAUCUGAAUAGCAUUUAGGCAGAGCGGCUUCUUUUAUCUCUCUCUGUCUCUCCAGCAGCCAAGAACUGGCAGGAGACCUCCAUCUCCUUUGUACAGCCUACUCCAAGAUCAUUUAUUUUUUCUGUUCUUCAGGAGUCGGCAAGAGCCUCACUUGUGAGAUAACUGGUUAAACACUCCAAUCCAGAUUCUGCGAGACAAGUCAGUUCACUGUGAGAUUAAAGCUUUGUGGCAUUUUUCAUCAUUGAUAUGGCACUUGUAUUACAGGAUGCUUUCCCAUUUCUUGCUAAUUAUAUCGUACCACAGUAGCUACAUGCACAUUGAAACAUUUGCAUAUUGGCAAAAUUACAUAGGCCUAUAAGAUGGAUAAAUGGAGCAAGCACCACUUCUUAGCUAUUGAAUCUUCAUUAUUGUUUUCUUUCACUUAGGCAAAUGAGAUGCUCCUUUUUAACAAGAGGAUCACUGCCAAUGAAGCACGGACCCAAGGACUCGUGACGGAGGUUUUUGCUGACAGUACUUUUCAGCAAGAAGUUUGGACAAGGCUGAAAGCAUAUGCUAAUCUUCCUAGAAAUGUUCGUAAUAACUACAGCACACACUAUUCAUAACAGUGCAACCCUAUACAUGUUUACUCAGGAGUAAAUCUCAUUGUGCUGAAGAGGGCUUACUUCCUAAUAUGUGUGUUUAGGAGUGCCUCCUUAAUCAUAUUAAAACACUGAGCCAACUACCACUCAAAAUGCC